rnacentral:rRNA from 1 species
GACGAACGCUGGCGGCGUGCUUAACACAUGCAAGUCGAACGGAAAGGCCCUGCUUUUGUGGGGUGCUCGAGUGGCGAACGGGUGAGUAACACGUGAGUAACCUGCCCUUGACUUUGGGAUAACUUCAGGAAACUGGGGCUAAUACCGCAUAGGAGCUCCUGCUGCAUGGUGGGGGUUGGAAAGUUUCGGCGGUUGGGGAUGGACUCGCGGCUUAUCAGCUUGUUGGUGGGGUAGUGGCUUACCAAGGCUUUGACGGGUAGCCGGCCUGAGAGGGUGACCGGCCACAAUGGGACUGAGAUACGGCCCAGAAUCCUACGGGAGGCAGCAGUGGGGAAUAUUGCACAAUGGGCGGAAGCCUGAUGCAGCAACGCCGCGUGCGGGAUGACGGCCUUCGGGUUGUAAACCGCUUUCGCCUGUGACGAAGCGUGAGUGACGGUAAUGGGUAAAGAAGCACCGGCUAACUACGUG